CCUGGGAGUCUUGCCGACACCCCUAGCCCUCCACCCCACACACAGCCCACAUGCCGGUCUCCAGGGGCCGUGGCUGGAGAUUCCGAAUCCUACCGGCCACUUCCCCUGAGUACACUCCCAGCUGAAGGCGUCUGGCUGGGCCUGGGCGGACUCGGGGGCUUUGUUCCCUUUUCUCCGUUUGCCCGCCCAUGGCGUUGCUGCCACGCUGAUGGAGCGCCCUCUCAUCCGGCACCUGCCCGGCCUCUUUCCUGAGCCCAGCUCUGUCCAUGCAGAUGUGGGUGCUUUCUGCAUUGGGGGUCCCACCGGGAGGAGCCAACAGUACCCCUGGUAGAGUUGGGAAAGAACUCCUUCCUCACGUUACUGCCAGAAAAUGACCAUAGCAGCUUCACAAACCCCGCAGGAACCUGUCUUCCUAAAGAAAUGGAGCCCAUGAGGUGGCCGAGCCUCAGGUGUGGUCCUUAUGCACAGCACAGCCCAAGCCUGUGGGCACAACUCGCCCUGGGCUGCCUGGCACCUGGACUCUUUCCUAUCCUCGGCCCAGGCCUGUGUGGCCCUGUAGGGCCAAACCCGACACUGUCUUCCUCCUGGGUCCGCUCCCUGGGCCUCCUGCACCCCAGACUGCUUCAUGGCCUCUGCAGGGAGCUUCACAGAGGUGAGACUGGUGCCAUCUGUCUGCUUCAGACCACCCCAGGCUCUGCGUACCCUCACAGUCCCCUCUGCGCUCCUCUACGGGGUGGGGAAGCCCUUCCCAUCAGGUCAGCACCAGCCUGGCCACCUUGUUUCUGCUGCCCCCUCCUCUUCAGGCCCCCAGACCAGACUUUAGUUACUUGCUGCUGCCGGGCAGAACUGGAGGCCUUGUCUUGCACAACCUCCACAACCUCCAGGCAUCAUCUCAGCUGACAGUGACGCCAUCCUGGGGAAGACCCCCCGGAUCCCGGGCUCUCCUGGAAGCCUGUGAUGCUCCUUCACCACAGCCCCUGUCCCUUCAUAGGUCCCAUAAGCCAGUGGUGCAGGGAUCUGGCCUUUCUCUCCUGUGUCUGCCUCCUGCAGAACCAUGAGCAGCUUCAGGGCCGAGGCAGUGCCUUUCCAUCCGUGAAUCUCCUGAGCCAUCAGAAUACUCGAGAGAGAGUGAUGCCCAAGAAAUACUGACUGAGUGUAUUCAUGAAAGAAUUAAUGUUCUUACAGGAUCACUUGUUGUUGAACUGACCUGACAUGUGUAUAGUGAUCUCAUGAACAAGAGGGAAGCUGUGCAUCCAUUCACUUCAAUUGGAUUUAGCAAUCGCAGUAGGAUAAUGAUAUUUCCACAAUGUAUAUGCUCUGUCCCUUUAAAUUUAACUUUUUGCUUUUUAGACAGAAGCUCAUCAGUCUUAGGGAGUUCUGAAGGCGGAUUUCUCAGCCGCGUUCAAGCUGACGAGUUCGCCAGUUCUGCCCCAGACAGUGCAGAGCGGCAGAAUCUUCCUGUAAACCCACCAUCUUCCCUGGAAAUAGCACAGGCCAUGGACACUAAGAUGAAAAAGGAGGAAGUACAGGAAGAAAAACGACAUCCAAAGGGCAAGGCAGAUGACUGCCGGCGGUCCGGUUUCCCGAGUGAAUUUCCAGGAGCUCUGCACGCCGCUCCCUCCAGACAGGACAUGGGGCCCUGACCUGGAGGCCAGGCGUUUCUAGCAUUGUUGACUGCCAGUUUAUUCCCAGUAAAUAAAGCAAUACGCUUUUCAGGAGGAA
rnacentral:lncRNA from 1 species